rnacentral:tRNA from 1 species
GCUCUCGUAGCCAAGUUGGUCUAAGGCAUUGGAUUGCAAAUCCAGUAUCACCAGUUCGAGUCUGGUCGAGAGCU